CUGGAUGAGAUACACUUCUGGGUGACUGACGACACAGGCCGCGCCCUGGAGCCGCAGUACGAUUGGUGCAUGACGCUGUGAGUCAUUUACACAGAGGGAGACGAUGCACUUGACACCCUGAGUGGCAGUGUAGCACGCAUACGAGACGACAUCAGGCUGAUGGUGCUCAGCGACCCCAAAAUAUCUCACACCUAGACAAAACACACCAUGGGACUCGGUGCACUGCUUGGCAAGGCAUGCUCAUUUGCAGGCCGCACACUUGGCGGUGUUGGUGGAGCCAUUCGCAAAGUGGCUGAGUUCUCAGCACCCGUGGUGCGCAAGGUUGCGCAGUUUGCGCGGCCUGUCGCAAACGCAGUGAGCGGCAUCACCCUAUCCGCAGGGCAGCCUUAAAUCGCCCUGUUGGCCAAGGGUGUGAGCAAGGCAGCCAACUGGGUGUCUGGCGCUGCACCAAAGGCCGAGGCCAUGCUAGGGAAGGCCAGUGCUAUUGGCGCGCGCAUGCAGGGGGCGGGCAGCACGCUCAUGGGCGCGGGCGGCGGGGGCUAAGGCUACGUAUUUUCUGUGCUCAGGGCUAGGAAGCACACAUGCCACGCUACGACUUUCCCCGCUACACCAAGGGCAGGUAUUACGUCCUUAGCGACAGCAUACGCUACAAGUGUAUGCAGGCCUCGCCGCAAACGACUUUCUUGCCGAAUGGGCUGCCUGUCCAGCUCCAUGGAAGCCGUGACCCCCCCGCGCAUCACCGCCCGUGGCACUGCUCGCAGCCAGGUUGCCAAGGAAGCCCGACUCCGUUAUGCCGCAGAGGCUUGAAAAAUUGCAAUUGUAUGAUUGUAUCUUGUCUCGCGGCCGUAGCGAGGUAUCGGCGCGGCGAGCUGGCCACCGAGAAAAGGAAGUUGUGCCGCAAUGAAUUGUAAAUUUGAAGUACCUUUAAGGUUACACUAAUCUUCGUAAGCAGAAUGUGCCCUAGAGCGCGACAGGGGCUCAGUCAACAAGGUUGCUGCGGCAAGAGCUUGGAGCUCUAUGAGCUGAGGCUGGCUUUAGGUCGAGGAAAUAUCGUUUAGA
rnacentral:lncRNA from 1 species